UGCCAGCCGCCGCGGUAAUACGGAGGGUGCAAGCGUUAUCCGGAAUCACUGGGUUUAAAGGGUGCGUAGGCGGAUAGAUAAGUCAGAGGUGAAAGCUCCCAGCUUAACUGGGGAACUGCCUUUGAUACUGUUUAUCUUGAAUUAUGUUGAGGUUAGCGGAAUGUGACAUGUAGCGGUGAAAUGCAUAGAUAUGUCAUAGAACACCAAUUGCGAAGGCAGCUAGCUAGGCAUAUAUUGACGCUCAGGGACGAAAGCAUGGGUAGCAAACAGGAUUAGAUA
rnacentral:rRNA from 1 species